rnacentral:misc_RNA from 1 species
GAUGAAGAACGCAGCGAAAUGCGAUAAGUAAUGCGAAUUGCAGAAUUCCAGUGAGUCAUCGAAUCUUUGAACGCACAUUGCGCCCUUUGGUAUUCCGAAGGGCAUGCCUGUUCGAGCGUCAUUAUCACCCCUCAAACCCUGGGUUGCCUUUAACCGGGCCUCCCUAACGUUUGGCGUUGGACGGUUGGUUCGAGUAAUCGAACCCCUCCCAAAGACAAUGACGGAGUCCAGUUCGACCCUCGGUACAUGGAGCACCUUUGCGGGAGCACGUGCCGGACCCCUAAAAGUGGUCGGGAGGACAUACGGUCACCACCUAUAUUUUUAACAAGGUUGACCUCGGAUCAGGUAGGGAUACCCGCUGAACUUAAGCAUAUCAAUAAGCGGAGGA